rnacentral:rRNA from 1 species
GAUGAACGCUGGCGGCGUGCCUAAUACAUGCAAGUCGAGCGAACGGACGAGAAGCUUGCUUCUCUGAUGUUAGCGGCGGACGGGUGAGUAACACGUGGAUAACCUACCUAUCAGACUGGGAUAAUUUCGGGAAACCGGAGCUAAUACCGGAUAAUAUUUUGAACCGCAUGGUUCAAACGUGAAAGACGGUCUUUCUGUCACUUAUAGAUGGAUCCGCGCUGCAUUAGCUAGUUGGGAAGGUAACGGCUUACCAAGGCAACGAUGCAUAGCCGACCUGAGAGGGUGAACGGCCACACUGGAACAGAGACACAGUCCAGACUCCUACGGGAGGCAGCAGUAGGGAAUCUUCCGCAAGGGACGAAAGCCUAACGGAGCAACGCCGCGUAAGUGAUGAAGGUCUUCGGAUCGUAAAACUCUGUUAUUAGGAAAGAACAUAUGUGUAAGUAACUGUGCACAUCUUGACGGUACCGAAUCAGAAAGCCACGGCUAACUACGUG